UACGUAGGGGCGAGCGUUGUCCGGAAUGACUGGGCGUAAAGGGCGUGUAGGCGGCCGAUUAAGUCCGGAGUGAAAGUCCUGCUUUCAAGGUGGGAAUUGCUUUGGAAACUGGUAGGCUUGAGUGCGGAAGAGGUAAGUGGAAUUCCCAGUGUAGCGGUGAAAUGCGUAGAGAUUGGGAGGAACACCAGUGGCGAAGGCGACUUACUGGGCCGUAACUGACGCUGAGGCGCGAAAGCGUGGGGAGCGAACAGGAUUAGAUACCCUGGUAGUCCCUGAGCGGG
rnacentral:rRNA from 1 species